rnacentral:rRNA from 1 species
AUGGACUCCGCCUCCGCCUCCUACAAACUGCAGCUCGCCUGCGCCGCGCUCGUGGGCGCCUCCGCGGCCGCCGCCUCCGCCUACUACCUGCACUGCCGCGCCGUCGCGCAGCUCAGCGGCGACAUCGUCCGCAACUCCGCCGCCGCCAAAGGCGACCGGGAGCGGCGGCGCCCACGCGAGGCCGCCGGGAGGAACCCCCCUCCCCCGCGCCGCGCCGCCGCCGGCUCCUCCUCGCUCCCCGAUCUCUCCUCCAUCUACGCCGCCGGCGGCGUCGCCAGGGGGUACCCUGUGGAGGAGUACGACGACGGCGAUGGGGAGGGGGUGGGGCCGUACGUGGACGAGGCGCUCCUCGCCGCCGCCGCCUACAUGCAGAUCCCCACGGGCUUGCCGAGGCUGCAAGUGGGGCCCGAGGGCAAUAAACAAAUCGUUCGUUCGGGUUCAAGCAGACGGGUUGGAUUAAUCAGACCAAAUUCACCCAAGUCCCCUUUUGCUAGUGCAAGUACUUUAGAGAGUGCAGAGGGGUCAGAUGAGGAUGCCGCGACGAAAGUCAACGGCAAACUUGAUAAUGGCUAUGCGAGCACAAAUGGAAAUCUUGAGGGAGAACACAAAGGAAAUUCAGUUGUGGAGAAUGGGGCUGGAACACCAUUAGAUGCAAAAAACAUGACUCGGUCUCAUAGUAUAUCCAAUGAUCUUCAUGCGGUUCAACCUGAUCCAGUUGCUGCAGAUAUUCUUCGAAAAGAACCUCAGCAAGAAUCAUUUAUCAAGCUGUUAACUGCACCUCAUGAGAUUCCAUCUCCUGAUGAAAUAGAGGUCUACAAAAUCCUUCAGAAGUGUCUCGAGUUAAGAGAUUGUUACCUUUUUAGAGAAGAGGUCGCUCCAUGGGAGAAGGAGGUCAUAAAUGACCCCUGUACACCAAAACCUAAUCCUAAUCCAUUCACUUUUGUGCCUGAACCAAAAUCAGAGCAUGUUUUCCAAAUGGUCGAUGGUGUUGUCCAAGUCUAUGCGGAUAAAGACCGUUCGGAAAGGAUUUAUCCUGUUGCUGAUGCUACAACCUUUUUCACCGACUUACAUUAUGUUCUCCGGAUGACUGCCGCGGGGAACACAAGAACUGUCUGCCAUAACCGAUUGAAUCUUCUAGAACAUGUUUUUAUUCCCUUGCAGAAGUUCAAAUUUCAUCUGAUGUUAAACGCGGACAGGGAGUUUCUUGCCCAAAAAACUGCACCACAUCGUGAUUUUUACAAUGUUAGGAAGGUCGACACUCAUGUUCACCACUCAGCAUGCAUGAAUCAGAAACAUUUGCUGAGAUUCAUCAAGUCCAAACUGAGAAAAGAACCUGAUGAGGUUGUCAUUUUCAGAGAUGGUACAUAUAUGACUUUGAAGGAGGUUUUUGAAAGCUUGGACUUAACUGGGUAUGACUUGAAUGUUGAUUUGCUAGAUGUCCAUGCGGACAAAAGUACGUUUCAUCGUUUUGACAAAUUCAACCUUAAAUACAAUCCAUGUGGCCAAAGUAGGCUACGGGAGAUUUUCCUUAAACAGGACAAUCUUAUUCAAGGACGAUUUCUUGCUGAGCUGACGAUGCAAGUUUUUUCUGACCUUAAUGCAAGCAAGUAUCAGAUGGCUGAAUAUAGGAUUUCAAUCUAUGGGAGGAAGCAAAGUGAGUGGGACCAACUUGCGAGUUGGAUAGUAAACAAUGAAUUGUACAGUGAAAAUGUUGUUUGGUUGAUUCAGAUUCCACGCUUAUAUAACGUGUACCAGCAAAUGGGCAUUGUUACAUCAUUUCAAAAUCUUCUUGACAACAUUUUCCUUCCUCUGUUUGAGGUUACUAUUGAUCCAGCUUCGCACCCGCAGCUUCAUGUCUUCCUAAAGCAGGUCGUAGGGUUAGAUUUGGUUGAUGAUGAAAGUAAACCUGAAAGGCGUCCAACUAAGCACAUGCCUACACCUGAAGAAUGGACGAAUGUCUUCAACCCGGCAUUUUCAUAUUAUGCAUACUACUGCUAUGCUAACUUGUACACACUGAACAAGCUGCGUGAGUCAAAGGGGAUGAAUACUAUCAAAUUCCGUCCACAUGCCGGUGAGGCUGGAGACGUUGAUCACUUGGCAGCAACAUUUCUUCUUUGUCACAGUAUAUCACAUGGAAUCAAUUUAAGGAAGUCUCCUGUGCUUCAAUAUCUGUACUACCUUGGUCAGAUUGGUCUGGCAAUGUCCCCUCUCAGCAACAACUCCUUGUUUCUUGAUUACCAUCGGAACCCUUUUCCUAUGUUUUUCCAACGAGGACUGAAUGUCUCGCUGUCCACGGAUGAUCCAUUGCAAAUUCAUCUGACAAAAGAGCCAUUGGUGGAAGAAUACAGCAUUGCUGCCUCGCUAUGGAAGCUCAGUUCUUGUGAUCUAUGUGAAAUUGCGAGAAAUUCUGUGUAUCAAUCAGGGUUUUCACAUGCUCUCAAGGCACAUUGGAUUGGCAAGAACUACUACAAGAGAGGCCCUUCAGGGAAUGAUAUCCACAGAACGAAUGUGCCCACCAUCAGGAUUGAAUUCAGGGACCUGAUCUGGAGAGACGAAAUGCAGCUCGUCUACCUCAACAACGUCAUCUUGCCUGACGAGGUGGACCAGUAA